UACGAAGGGUGCUAGCGUUGUUCGGAAUGACUGGGCGUAAAGGGCGCGUAGGCGGACAGUUUAGUCAGAGGUGAAAGCCCAGGGCUCAACCUUGGAAUUGCCUUUGAUACUGGCUGUCUUGAGUUCGGGAGAGGUGAGUGGAAUGCCGAGUGUAGAGGUGAAAUGCGCAGAUAUCUGGAGGAACACCGGUGGCGAAGGCGGCAUCCUGGACCGGCAUUGACGCUGAGGCGCGAAAGCCAGGGGAGCAAAGCGGG
rnacentral:rRNA from 1 species